GGUUAAGUGACUAAGCGUACACGGUGGAUGCCUAGGCAGUCAGAGGCGAUGAAGGGCGUGCUAAUCUGCGAAAAGCGUCGGUAAGGUGAUAUGAACCGUUACAACCGGCGAUACCCGAAUGGGGAAACCCAGUGUGUUUCGACACACUAUCAUGUCAUGAAUACAUAGUGGCAUGAGGCGAACCGGGGGAACUGAAACAUCUAAGUACCCCGAGGAAAAGAAAUCAACCGAGAUUCCCCCAGUAGCGGCGAGCGAACGGGGAGGAGCCCAGAACCUGAAUCGGCUUGUGUGUUAGUGGAAGCGUCUGGAAAGUCGCGCAGCAAAGGGUGAUAGCCCCGUACACUAAAAUGCACAGGUCGUGAGUUCGAUGAGUAGGGCGGGACACGUGACAUCCUGUCUGAAUAUGGGGGGACCAUCCUCCAAGGCUAAAUACUCCUGACUGACCGAUAGUGAACCAGUACCGUGAGGGAAAGGCGAAAAGAACCCCGGCGAGGGGAGUGAAAUAGAACCUGAAACCGUGUACGUACAAGCAGUGGGAGCACCUUCGUGGUGUGACUGCGUACCUUUUGUAUAAUGGGUCAGCGACUUAUAUUUUGUAGCAAGGUUAACCGUAUAGGGGAGCCGUAGGGAAACCGAGUCUUAACUGGGCGAAUAGUUGCAAGGUAUAGACCCGAAACCCGGUGAUCUAGCCAUGGGCAGGUUGAAGGUUGGGUAACACUAACUGGAGGACCGAACCGACUAAUGUUGAAAAAUUAGCGGAUGACUUGUGGCUGGGGGUGAAAGGCCAAUCAAACCGGGAGAUAGCUGGUUCUCCCCGAAAGCUAUUUAGGUAGCGCCUCGUGAACUCAUCUUCGGGGGUAGAGCACUGUUUCGGCUAGGGGGCCAUCCCGGCUUACCAAACCGAUGCAAACUCCGAAUACCGAAGAAUGUUAUCACGGGAGACACACGGCGGGUGCUAACGUCCGUCGUGAAGAGGGAAACAACCCAGACCGCCAGCUAAGGUCCCAAAGUCAUGGUUAAGUGGGAAACGAUGUGGGAAGGCAUAGACAGCCAGGAUGUUGGCUUAGAAGCAGCCAUCAUUUAAAGAAAGCGUAAUAGCUCACUGGUCGAGUCGGCCUGCGCGGAAGAUGUAACGGGGCUAAACCAUGCACCGAAGCUGCGGCAGCGACGCUUAGGCGUUGUUGGGUAGGGGAGCGUUCUGUAAGCCGUUGAAGGUGGCCUGUGAGGGUUGCUGGAGGUAUCAGAAGUGCGAAUGCUGACAUAAGUAACGAUAAAGCGGGUGAAAAGCCCGCUCGCCGGAAGACCAAGGGUUCCUGUCCAACGUUAAUCGGGGCAGGGUGAGUCGACCCCUAAGGCGAGGCUGAAAAGCGUAGUCGAUGGGAAACAGGUUAAUAUUCCUGUACUUGGUGUUACUGCGAAGGGGGGACGGAGAAGGCUAGGCUAGCCGGGCGACGGUUGUCCCGGUUUAAGCGUGUAGGGGGUGUGACCUGGUAAAUCCGGUUGCAUAUCAACCCUGAGGCGUGAUGACGAUGCACUACGGUGCAGAAGUAGUUGAUGCCCUGCUUCCAGGAAAAGCCUCUAAGCUCUAGGUAACAUUGAAUCGUACCCCAAACCGACACAGGUGGUCAGGUAGAGAAUACCAAGGCGCUUGAGAGAACUCGGGUGAAGGAACUAGGCAAAAUGGUGCCGUAACUUCGGGAGAAGGCACGCUGGCAUGUAGGUGAAGUCCUUCGCGGAUGGAGCUGAAGCCAGUCGAAGAUACCAGCUGGCUGCAACUGUUUAAUAAAAACACAGCACUGUGCAAACACGAAAGUGGACGUAUACGGUGUGACGCCUGCCCGGUGCUGGAAGGUUAAUUGAUGGGGUCAGCCGCAAGGCGAAGCUCUUGAUCGAAGCCCCAGUAAACGGCGGCCGUAACUAUAACGGUCCUAAGGUAGCGAAAUUCCUUGUCGGGUAAGUUCCGACCUGCACGAAUGGCGUAAUGAUGGCCAGGCUGUCUCCACCCGAGACUCAGUGAAAUUGAACUCGCUGUGAAGAUGCAGUGUACCCGCGGCAAGACGGAAAGACCCCGUGAACCUUUACUAUAGCUUGACACUGAACAUUGAGCCUUGAUGUGUAGGAUAGGUGGGAGGCUUUGAAGCGUGGACGCCAGUCUGCGUGGAGCCAUCCUUGAAAUACCACCCUUUAAUGUUUGAUGUUCUAACUCGGCCCCAUAAUCUGGGGUGAGGACAGUGUCUGGUGGGUAGUUUGACUGGGGCGGUCUCCUCCCAAAGAGUAACGGAGGAGCACGAAGGUUAGCUAAUCACGGUCGGACAUCGUGAGGUUAGUGCAAAGGCAUAAGCUAGCUUGACUGCGAGAGUGACGGCUCGAGCAGGUACGAAAGUAGGUCUUAGUGAUCCGGUGGUUCUGAAUGGAAGGGCCAUCGCUCAACGGAUAAAAGGUACUCCGGGGAUAACAGGCUGAUACCGCCCAAGAGUUCAUAUCGACGGCGGUGUUUGGCACCUCGAUGUCGGCUCAUCACAUCCUGGGGCUGAAGUAGGUCCCAAGGGUAUGGCUGUUCGCCAUUUAAAGUGGUACGCGAGCUGGGUUUAGAACGUCGUGAGACAGUUCGGUCCCUAUCUGCCGUGGGCGUUGGAAGAUUGAGAGGGGUUGCUCCUAGUACGAGAGGACCGGAGUGAACGCACCACUGGUGUUCGGGUUGUCAUGCCAAUGGCAUUGCCCGGUAGCUAAGUGCGGAAAAGAUAAGCGCUGAAAGCAUCUAAGCGCGAAACUUGCCUCAAGAUGAGUCUUCCCUGGGCCUUUAAGGUCCCUGAAGGAACGUUUAAGACUAAGACGUUGAUAGGCUGGGUGUGUAAGUGCAGCGAUGCAUUGAGCUAACCAGUACUAAUGAUCCGUGAGGCUUAACCUU
rnacentral:rRNA from 1 species